rnacentral:rRNA from 1 species
AUUGAACGCUGGCGGCAGGCCUAACACAUGCAAGUCGAACGAGUGGCGGACGGGCGAGUAAUGUCUGGGAAACUGCCUGAUGGAGGGGGAUAACUACUGGAAACGGUAGCUACUACCGCAUACCAUCAGAUGUGCCCAGAUGGAAUUAGAUUGUUGGUGGGGUAACGGCUCACCAAGGCGACGAUCCCUAGCUGGUCUGAGAGGAUGACCAGCCAAACUGGGACUGAGACACGGCCCAGACUCCUACGGGAGGCAGCAGUGGGGAAUUUUGGACAAUGGGGGCAACCCUGAUCCAGCCAUGCCGCGUGUAUGAAGAAGGCCUUCGGGUUGUAAAGUACUUUUGGUAGGGAAGCGGUACCUAAAGAAUAAGCACCGGCUAACUACGUGCCAGCAGCCGCGGUAAUUC